UACGUAGGGUGCAAGCGUUGUCCGGAAUUAUUGGGCGUAAAGGGUGCGUAGGCGGCGCGGUAAGUCGGGUGUGAAAUCUCGGGGCUUAACUCCGAAACUGCAUUCGAUACUGCCGUGCUUGAGGACUGGAGAGGAGACUGGAAUUUACGGUGUAGCGGUGAAAUGCGUAGAUAUCGUAAGGAAGACCAGUGGCGAAGGCGGGUCUCUGGACAGUUCCUGACGCUGAGGCACGAAGGCCAGGGGAGCAAACGGG
rnacentral:rRNA from 1 species